ACUACAGAGGCAAAAAAAAGUCAGUUGCGAGGGCAAAACUUUUAUUUGGAACAAAAUAUUCAGAAAUUUUGGAGGAAAAUCUUAAGUCAGAGGAUUUAGAGUAACAAUGCUAAACAAUGACAAAACAAGCAAGAAAGCCAGUUGAUUUAUCAGAAGUUCUGACAAGAAUAUAAUAUGCAAGAUGAAGUUGCACACCAAUAACGCAAAAGAUUGCAUAAAUAUAGGAUUCAGUAAACUACAAUACAUCCAGUAAAAAAAUGGAAACACUGCAAGAGAUGCAAGAAGGUUUGAAUGAUUAGGUUACCUGGUUUAGUGUUUGAUCUCGUUCGUCAUUGAAACUUCUACCACGUUUUCCCCCAACUGCAUCAAGUUCAUCGAUGAAUAUAAUUGACGGAGAAGAUUUUCUUGCUGCAUUAAAGAGAUCUCUAAUCCGAGCUGCUCCUCUACCAA